rnacentral:tRNA from 1 species
CGCGGAGUAGCUCAGCCGGACAGAGCGCCUCCCUCAUAAGGAGGAGGUCGCCGGUUCGAUCCCGGCCUCCGCGA